AUUCAUUAUUCCAUCUUUUUUAUCAUCGUCAUUAUUCACUAAGGACAUUAACAAAGAUUAAUGAUGAAAAAAUAAAUCAAGACAAAAUAGAAUGAAAUAGAAUGAUGACUUUGCAACAUAACCUCUUAAUCAAAGAAAUUCUGUUAUAUUUCUAUUUCUCAUCAAUUUUAUCAUCGGCUAAUAAUGACAAUGCGUAAUGGCAGAAGAGAUGGAAUAGAGUGAGAAUGCAUACUUUGUCUUUUAUUCUUUUCUUCUGACAAACGGACAGUAUUUCUAUGUACAGCGAUAUCCUCCAUUUCUCGCGCGAAAGUAGUGCCACCAGUGGCGGUACAGCAAAAUAUACAUCUGUUCCUGUGUUAAAUGGUCUUCCCUUCACAUGCGUAUAAACGCACACUCUGGUGAAUGCACCGAAUUCGGAGGUUUCUGGACAAAGGGUGAGCAGAGAAGGGAGGUGUUACGCUUCGUCUGGUCCUCCGUGAGAUUGCACACCGUGACCAACAAACUACCACGGUUUACGGGAUAUAACUCGGGAGGAACGAGCUCGACAAGAGGGAAAAGGAAAAUGCGGGAAAAUGGAGAUGGUCAGGAAAGAAUAGUGUAUGUGAGAACAGGGAAACGUACUGGUUCAAGAGGUACGUACAUAGUAUGCGUCACAAAUGUCAUACUGGUAUCUUGAAUUUUCAAAAUAAACAAUUUCAACAGAAGAGAUACUCGUUCAACACUCUUAAUAAUCAAAUUGAAAACCACAAGACUUCUUCUAAAUUUUUACUAAAAGUUUGGUUAAAAUUGAUAACCUCAAAAAAUUUUUUUGACAAAAAAUACAUGGAUAUACUCGCACGAAUUUAUUAGAAUUUUUAACGAGAAUAUGGAGAACUAAUAUACAUUUAGGAAACCACGAUUAUUAAACAUUCCAAUUAAAACGAAUCAAUAAGGUUAAUUGGUUCGCAUAAUUCUAGCUGAAUAUGGCGCGCUACGAAAUGCGUGCGGUAAGUUAUCGUGGAAUGCAAUUUAUAUUUAGGUAGGUAACUUUACUAGAACGAUGUAAUUCAUCUCCGUUACAACUGUGAUAUCAGUGGUUGGCUUUUCGUUUGUCGUAUAAUAGUGGAAAGUGGAAAUCCAAGGAUUUAUGCCGCAGAUGGACAUGUUGAUUGCAUUUUGUGGAAAUCCCACUUUCACUCUCAUCGAGAAGCAACGUGUUCUAACUGGCUCUUCGAGUCUGGCCUGGAAUUGUUGAUCACCUUCGUCGGUCACUGGAAGUAAUAAGUAAAUACAUGCGGUAUUUCGUACACAAAGCGAAGGCAUUCCACAUCCAGUACAAGUUUAAGGACUUUACAUGGCAAAUUCCUCGCAUCCAGAGAUGUUUAGCCACGAUAAUCAUUAGACCGAGCGUGAAAUUGCAUAAUUUUCUGUGUACAUUACGAAAAUUACGAUUAGAAAUAUGAUUGAAAAUGAUUGGCGAAUAACAAAAAGUUUUUUGGUCGGAUUUUAAUAAUUUAAAAAAAAAGAAAGAAUGUGUUUGUGAUGAGAAUCGAUGCGAGAAAU